AACAGUUUAAAAUGGUUAAAAACACUUUUAAAAAAAUGAAUAUUCUCUAUGUAAUGUACACAAAUAAUCAAAGUCAGCCUUAAUAGGGUCUUAAAAUUGCAAAAGAAAACAAAACAUGCAACUAAGCCGCACAGUAAUUAAUACAGAAGAUAAAUCUCACCAGUUUGUACACCAAUGUUUGCAUGCUUCUUUCAAUAUGAGCUACAGUUAACUAGAAAAUAAUCCUUUCUCCAUAAAUGUAGUUUCUGUCUGCUCACUGUGCUGAAUGCAGUGUUGGCAUGGCAUCAUCUAUAACCCCGUGGCUUUCAUUAGCACAUUUCAGUAAACACACACUUGAAAGAUGAGCUGGUCCUGCACUACUGGAAGUGCUGCCGGCGCUGCAGACGAAGCCACGGGCGUUCUGACUGGAUGUAUGGGUUCUGACAUCCAUCAUGACUCAUGUCACAGUGUCAGGCAGGGAGAGGAUAUUGUGCAGAAUUGAUUUCACUCUGGAUAUGAACACAGAAAUCAGGGAAACAUAGCCAUAUAGGAUGAAGAGUCACAAAAAAACAAUACAUUUUACUGUUAAUCAAACAAACCUUAUGUAUUUCACUGCAAACAUUUCAUGAAUUUCUAAACAGCUGACCUUAAUUCUUCUAAAAAACAAUCUUUUUUUGAAAAUUGCCAUUAGUCAUAAAAACCAACCUGCUUCUCUCCGGUCAUAAUUUAUUCAUAUUUAUCCUUCCUAAGUUGUUAUAAUCAUCAUCCUUUUUCUCCUUAAAGAUCUCAUUAAAAUCUUCACCUUCACUCAUAUUACUGGAAUAAAACUAUUCUCUACAAAUCUGCAUUUAAAAAAAACAAAAACUCACUAGUGACUGUAAUUAUGCAGUUCCCCCGGUAUGCAGUUCACACAUCCACACAACAAAUAGUCACUUUUUAACUGCAACGAAGCAAUUCCCCUGCAGGGAUCAUUUAAUUUAUUUUAAUUCUGGAGGAGUAUCUCCAUGAUUCUUUCAGUUUUAUUCACUUCAGGUUCUGUCCAUGAAGCUGAAUUCUCAUCUAACUUACAACAGAAUGAAGGGACAGAGGCUAAAAAUUUUAUGAGUAGCAUUAAUAAAUAGUGCAUAUUACAAUAAGGCUUUACCUGCAUGACAGGUAAUUAUGAUAAUGUAAUCCUGUAUCACGCAAUGAAUCCUCUUUAUUUCACCCCUGUGCAGGCCUUCUAGGUCCUGUUGAGUGCUGUAUUGAGAAAGCGCCAUGCGGCUACUAUAGUGAUGCUAAUACAGUUUGGGAUAUACAGAAAUACGACUUGAGUAAAAGCCCUUUAUUAUCCUGUUUGAUGAGAGCAGGAGCAACCAAGCAGUUUUGUAACGACACCUGCAUGGGUCAUUUGGAGCUUCAUUUCCAUUUCAUUUAGCCUGCUGGGCUUCUUUUAAGUGUCACAUAGAGCAUAUUGAGUAUCCAAAUGCUAUGGGUGGGCAGAAGUGGAUCACCAAUCAGGCUAAAAGGAUUACCACCUCAGGACACUAGGAUAUAAGAGGCCACAUAGGUUUAUUAUCAACUUUGGUUGGGAAUAAACUGCACAGUAAAACUGACAUAAUAAAGGCUUUAAAGUGGCUCUACAGUCGUACUAAUGACUCAUUUACAGUAUGUGAGGCUCUACUUAAGCACAGCAGUGAUCUAAGCCAAAUACUACCAUCAGAAUGCUAACAUGCUAAUGUUUAGCAGGUGAUUCACUGUCUCACAUGCACAGUUAGGAAUGUAGCAGGCAAAUAUUCACUACUUUGUACAUGCUAGUGACCACUGUUCCCUCUAAGCUGCGCGCGUGCGCAAUUGCGCACUGCUGACACGGUCUCCGCGCACAGAAAAUCUGCGCUGCGCACAAAAAAAACCAACCUAAAUUGUAAAUAAAAUAAACACGUAACAAUUCAUUCUGUGCUAUUUUUCAAUGUGAGUCAGUGAGUUACCGGUGACUGGCUGCUGCAGCCAAUGAUGCGAUUCACAUACGUAUUUACCAUAGACUGUAUAUAAUGGUAUUUACGCAGCUAAUCAACAUCAGGCGUCCUUAUGUGCAGCCAUCGUUGUUGUCAUAGAUAUGAAUGAGUAGAUAGGACACGCCCCUUUGAGCUGCGUGCUACAGCGAGGCUAAGCUAGUGGGGGCAAAGUUUCAGUGCAUUCCGUUGAUGUCGACGGCGUGAAAACGGAAACAAGAAGUAUGCCGGCUCACUGUGCUGCAUACAGUUACACACUGCAUCGUGCGAUUGAGACAAGGAAACUUGUGUAGUGCCCUGGUAUUCUGUUAUUGUCAUUUAUUUUGUUGACGUGUAUCUAAUGCUGUUUAUUUACUGUUUUCGCAUAAUCUCUGAAAUUCCAAUGUUCUGUGUUGACCGUGAACGCCACAAGUUGUUUUCCGUCAUGAUUGGGUUAGACAGGUGCCAAUCUGAUAUAGUUGGCCAAUGAUUGUUAUGUUGUGAUGGACAUGGGGGCCAAUUGAAUCGCUGCAGAGGCGGGAUGAAGAGUGAAGCGCGCGAAGCGGACGGCGAUGCUGAAGGAGAAUGGAGGAAAAGUUACCGGUGGAAAACGAACGAGCUAGCGACCAAGCAACCGACAGCUGCCGCUCGCCGAGUGAGGAGGGACAGAGUUAAGGAUCGUGGUGAGGUACCGAGGCGGUGAAGACUGUUGAACAGCCUUUGUUUUUUUUUGGACACUGAAGUUGAACUUUGUGGUUUUUGGAAGCUGAAUCCGGACUUUCUGUUUUUGGAAGCUGAAGCCAGACUUUCUAUUUUUUUGGAAGCUGAAGCCGGACUUUCUAUCCUUGUGUGUUUCUUCAUGAGUUCCAACUGUGCACCAGGUCUGGUACCAGAGGACAGACUAAAUCCCGGGUGAUUUUGGGUUUCCCAGAGACUAUGGGUUGAGGAGGAAUUGGAAGUUUGUCGGCUUAGACCUGGUGUCAUUCCAUCAGUGUUAAACUUCCCGGUUCAUCUUGGAAGAGUACGUGCCAGAAAGACCACGACCAAGCAGCCUUGAGAUCUUAGGCAGCGUCUCCCCGAGCCACCAACCACUGGAACACAUCUCCAAAGUUCUGCUGGGCCAGCUCAGCUUCCCCUCAGAAGAAGUGCCACCACCUGCCAGAUGAAGGAGCCUUUUGAGAGGCAGCUGGCAUCGUGAUUGAACUGUACUUUGGUCUGUUCCAAUCCAGCUUCAGCUCCAGAGACGGCAGGCGGGACGAGUCAACGGAGGCCUGGUGGACGAAGGCAUGCAGCUGAGUACAAUCCAGAAAACAACAGAGGAGGAGUGCAGCGACCCAGGACCAGAACAAACAGAGUAGCAUCGUAUGUCUCUUAGAAAACAUCAUAGUAGAGCCUUUGGGAUGAAAAAACACCAUCAUAUACAUCGUAUAUUGUACAAAUAACAAGUCAAAGCAAAGAGACAUACAUUGUAGAAUUGUAGUAAUUGUGGGCUGACUGAUUUACUGAUUAUUAAUAUUUUAUUUUUUACUGAUUUAUGGUAAUAAAUAAAUUUUAAAAUGGUG